rnacentral:rRNA from 1 species
AUUGAACGCUGGCGGCAUGCCUUACACAUGCAAGUCGAACGGCAGCACGGGUGCUUGCACCUGGUGGCGAGUGGCGAACGGGUGAGUAAUACAUCGGAACGUACCUUAUCGUGGGGGAUAACGCAGCGAAAGCUGUGCUAAUACCGCAUACGCCCUGAGGGGGAAAGCGGGGGAUCGAAAGACCUCGCGCGAUGAGAACGGCGGAUGCCUGAUUAGCUUGUUGGUGGGGUAAAAGCCCACCAAGGCGACGAUCAGUAGCUGGUCUGAGAGGACGAUCAACCACACUGGGACUGAGACACGGCCCAGACUCCUACGGGAGGCAGCAGUGGGGAAUUUUGGACAAUGGGGGCAACCCUGAUCCAGCAAUGCCGCGUGAGUGAAGAAGGCCUUCGGGUUGUAAAGCUCUUUUGUCAGGGAAGAAACACCGGCUCUAACACAGUCCGGGAAUGACGGUACCUGAAGAAUAAGCACGGGCUAACUACGUGCCAGCCGCCGCGGUAA